UACGUAGGUCCCGAGCGUUGUCCGGAUUUAUUGGGCGUAAAGCGAGCGCAGGCGGUUUGAUAAGUCUGAAGUAAAAGGCUGUGGCUUAACCAUAGUACGCUUUGGAAACUGUCAAACUUGAGUGCAGAAGGGGAGAGUGGAAUUCCAUGUGUAGCGGUGAAAUGCGUAGAUAUAUGGAGGAACACCGGUGGCGAAAGCGGCUCUCUGGUCUGUAACUGACGCUGAGGCUCGAAAGCGUGGGGAGCAAACAGG
rnacentral:rRNA from 1 species